rnacentral:rRNA from 1 species
UACAGAGGGUGCGAGCGUUGUCCGGGAUCACUGGGCGUAAAGGGCGCGUAGGCGGUGCGGCAAGUCACCUGUGAAACCUCUGGGCUUAACCCAGAGCCUGCAGGCGAAACUGCCGUGCUGGAGUGUGGGAGAGGUGCGUGGAAUUCCCGGUGUAGCGGUGAUAUGCGUAGAUAUCGGGAGGAACACCAGUGGCGAAGGCGGCUCUCUGGGCUGACACUGACGCUCAUGCACGAAAGCGUGGGGAGCAAACAGG